GUCUGAAGAGGGAAUCACUUGUUGUCACUGCUGGAUAAUCAACAGAUUUAGCGGCAUUGGAUUCAGAAGACAAAGAGAGGGGAGACCUAAGUGCCGGUGGAUAAAAGCAGUUGAUCUAGUCCGUCAACUAUAAUUUACAUUCUCAAGGUAAAAUUGAGAAUUUAGGUCUGCAGAACCGGUAAUCGGACAAUCUUGAGAGCAGACUUUUCUCGUAAUGAAAACAGCAAAAGCUCUAUUCGUUUUUAAACUCUGGUCAUGGAAUACAAAUUCAGAAACAACUUGAAAUAACUCAUGCUGUCACUUGAUUUCUUAUAUGGUUAGAUCCCUAUUUCUUAAGACGACCCCUUAAUAAACCAAUCAAAGAAAGGCAUUGUCAAGGGUUUGUGCUUUCCUUCUACACGGUUUACUGUUCUGCGCAAUUUUAUCCGCAUUAUUAUCCACAUUUUCUCAAAUACAUAUCUCCUAAAUCACGCGCUGUUGUUUCUUUGACGAUCUCAAGUAAUCUGUUAAACAUCAUUGUUUCAAUCAACUUCCAACUGCUGUGUCUCAGCGCGGCCCAUGGAGCCUUCAUAAAACUUAGAAUUCAGGGUUCUGAAAAGAGGCUUAGUGGGAGGUAGAUCAUGAGUGUUCGGAAGCUAUCAUUGCUGUUAUUUUCUUGAUUGGGUAUUCUCGAAGCAACUACUUUCUAGCAUUGAUUGUAUUUAUUCAUGGCACUUUAGUUUUCCUUUUCAGUUUGAAGUUAGAGAUUGCCAACGCGUAACUGUCUUGAUCUUCAUCACUACCCUUCUUUGUUCACAUGCUGAGAACCCUGACAGUGGUGAAGCAUUUUCCACCUAGCUUCCAGACUGUUGGACACUCCAAGAGUCUCCCUGGGCACAAAGUGCUGAAUGUGGGGCCACGACAAGCCACGCCCCAACAUGAAAUCCUCCUGUGUGGGUUCCAGUCAAUCAUGUGAGAACAAAGAUAUCAACUGGGGCCGUCCAGGGUCUUUGCCAAGGACGGAGCAGAGAACAAUUCCUUCACGACCUUGAUUUCAAUUCCUUCUGUUGAACAUGUCAGAACCAGGAAGGACAACAAUUCCCUGGCCUUGUUUUUCCUGCAAGCUUUACGUCAGUUUUCACGUCUAUGAAUGAAGAGUUAUUGAUGGUUGCAUGGAUUCAAAGGACCCAGAGAGAUACAUAUAUCACGAUAAUCAAUUCUUUACCAAAAAUACAAAAGAAAAAAGGGAGAAUACUGUUUCCCGGGUUUUGUUCGACUGCUCCACCGCAUAUUCGGCAUUCAUUCCUCUUCAUCUCCUCCGACUUUGUGCGAUAAGCUAUGGCAAGAUCAACAACGACGACCAAGUGGCAGCAGCAGUGGUCCCUACUUGGUGAUUGACAACCAUGAAAGCGCCGCAUUGCGGAUGUUCAAUCAGUUUUCCAAGGUCUUAUCAGAAAUCAUAUGCUCAAUCAUCACUUUUCUCAUUCCUUUUCCAAUGGCACAUCAUAUCGAAGCAAUGAAGAUCUAAAGUGGAAAUUGAUUGUAACAAAACAUCAAUAUGAAAGAAAUCUCUACUGCUUUUACUUUUUUGCUGUCAUCCACUCCCAUCUUUAUGAAGCAAGGGAAGAGGAGCGUGGGAAGCCAUAGUGGAGUCUUUUUUCCAUCUUACAACAACUUUUGUGUGGAAUCUUCAAAAAGUGAAAGCAAUCAUGGAACAUUAACUCAUGUGUGGGACCUAAAUGCAUCUGGAUGCACGGAGAUGAAUAGUGGUGGAUGAAUGUGAAACCUUACACACCAUUUGAUAAAAUUGUGUUUCAUUUGCUUUUCCCUAAACAAAACUUGGUAUUAUUUUAAAUAUCCAUGGCAUAAUUAUAUUCAAUGGUUUUAUUAUAAAUGUAGGGAUCAACUAUGCAUAUACCCCCUUCCUUUUAAUCAAACAAGAUUUUUCAACUAUCAUUGAUUGCAAGAUCAAUUUAAUAAAAGGACCAAUGGCUCUCAUUGUGUGAUAU